rnacentral:rRNA from 1 species
UACCGGCAGCACGAGUGAUAGCCACUAUUAUUGGGCCUAAAGCGUCCGUAGCCGGCUACACAGGUCCGUCGGGAAAUCCACCCGCUCAACGGGUGGGCGUCCGGCGGAAACCAGGUAGCUUGGGGCCGGAAGACCAGAGGGGUACGUCCGGGGUAGGAGUGAAAUCCUGUAAUCCUGGACGGACCACCGGUUGCGAAAGCGCCUCUGGAAGACGGACCCGACGGUGAGGGACGAAAGCUAGGGUCUCGAACCGGAUUAGAUACCCGGGUAGUCCUAGCUGUAAACGAUGCUCGCUAGGUGCGGCGCAGGCUACGAGCCUGCGCUGUGCCGUAGGGAAGCCGAGAAGCGAGCCGCCUGGGAAGUACGUCCGCAAGGAUGAAACUUAAAGGAAUUGGCGGGGGAGCACUACAACCGGAGGAGCCUGCGGUUUAAUUGGACUCAACGCCGGACAUCUCACCGGCACCGACAGUGUGCAGUGACGGUCAGUAUGAUGAGCUUACCUGAGCCACU